rnacentral:rRNA from 1 species
UACGUAGGGUGCGAGCGUUAAUCGGAAUUACUGGGCGUAAAGCGUGCGUAGGCGGUUAUCUAAGUCGGGUGUGAAAUCCCCGGGCUCAACCUGGGAAUUGCAUUCGAUACUGGAUAGCUAGAGUUCGGCAGAGGGAAGUGGAAUUUCAGGUGUAGCGGUGAAAUGCGUAGAUAUCUGAAGGAACAUCAGUGGCGAAAGCGACUUCCUGGACCAGAACUGACGCUCAGGCACGAAAGCGUGGGAGCAAACAGG